rnacentral:rRNA from 1 species
GAAUCCCGUCUUUGACAUGGACUACCUGUACACCGUGGUACGCUCUCGAAGAGUCGAGUUGUUUGGGAAUGCAGCUCAAAAUGGGUGGUGAACUCCAUCUAAAGCUAAAUAUUGGCGAGAGACCGAUAGCGAACAAGUACCGUGAGGGAAAGAUGAAAAGCACUUUGGAAAGAGAGUGAAACAGUACGUGAAAUUGUUGAAAGGGAAACGCUUGAAGUCAGUCGCGUCGACCGAGACUCAGCCUCGCCUCGGCUUGGUGUACUUCUCGGCUGACGGGUCAGCAUCAAUUUUGCCCCUUGGAUAAUGGCGAGGGAAAUGUGACACCUUUGCGGUGUGUUAUAGUCUCUCGUCGCAUGCAAGGGUCGGGAUUGAGGAACUCAGCACGCGCCUUUGGGCGUCGGGGCUUUGCCCACGAUACGUGCUUAGGAUGCUGGCGUAAUGGCUUUAAACGACCCGUCUUGAAACACGGACCAAGGAGUCUAACAUGCCUGCGAGUGUUCGGGUGGAAAACCCGUGCGCGCAAUGAAAGUGAAAGUUGGGACCUCUGUCGUGGAGGGCACCGACGCCCGGACCAGACCUUCUGUGACGGUUCUGCGGUAGAGCAUGUAUGUUAGGACCCGAAAGAUGGUGAACUAUGCCUGAAUAGGGUGAAGCCAGAGGAAACUCUGGUGGAGGCUCGUAGCGAUUCUGACGUGCAAAUCGAUCGUCAAAUUUGGGUAUAGGGGCGAAGGACUAAUCGAACCAUCUAGUAGCUGGUUCCUGCC